rnacentral:lncRNA from 10 species
GUGACCAGGCCCAGGGCUCCUUUGUGGUGGAAGCCAGUGGCUGGGAGCCCACCUGGAGAGUGUGGAGUGGGUGUGGGAGGGAGAGACAGGUGGGCGAGGUGUGGACACUCAACAUAGGAAAGUAUUUGGAGACAGUCACAGUUACACACUCAACAUCUGCUGGCACCUACCCAAGCCCAGAGCUCCCAGAGCCCCGCGGGCCCCCGAGGCACUCCCAGUCAAGCAUGGGAGACAGGCCAGCACACAGGUGAUCCGUGGUCGUGAUAAAUGGUCACAAGGGGCCGUGGGCACCCAGAAAAUGAGCUCCUACUCGGCCUUGGAGAGCCUGAGAGUGAGGCCUUUGAAUGAUGCCCUGGACAGAGCUUGGAACAUGAAGGUGAAUACUGUUGUGGGGAGAAUGCAUCCCUUUGCCUGGCUCUGAGCCAGGGCCAGCUUUGGAUCCUGCUAGCCCCAUGGAUAUAGAGCACUCACUCUGUGGGGGAGGCCAGCUUUCAUGUCAUGAGGACACUCAAGUAGCCCUCUGGAGAGGCUCUCAUGGUGAGGAACUAAGGCGUUCUACCAAUAACCAUGCAGUGUGCCAUCUUGGAAGCAGAUCUUCCAGCACCAGUCCAACCUUCAGAUGACUGCAGCCCAGGCCAACAUCUUGACUGCAACUUCAAGAAAGACCCCAAGCCAUAACCACUCAGCUAAGCCAUUUCCAAUUCCUGAUUCUCAAAACCUGUAUGAGAUAAUAAAAUUGUUUGUUGUUGUUUUAACC